UACGUAGGGUGCAAGCGUUAAUCGGAAUUACUGGGCGUAAAGCGUGCGCAGGCGGUUCGGAAAGAAAGAUGUGAAAUCCCAGAGCUUAACUUUGGAACUGCAUUUUUAACUACCGGGCUAGAGUGUGUCAGAGGGAGGUGGAAUUCCGCGUGUAGCAGUGAAAUGCGUAGAUAUGCGGAGGAACACCGAUGGCGAAGGCAGCCUCCUGGGAUAACACUGACGCUCAUGCACGAAAGCGUGGGGGAGCAAACAGGAUUAGAUACCCUGGUAGUCCACGCCCUAAACGAUGUCAACUAGCUGUUGGGGCCUUCGGGCCUUGGUAGCGCAGCUAACGCGUGAAGUUGACCGCCUGGGGAGUACGGUCGCAAGAUUAAAACUCAA
rnacentral:rRNA from 1 species